AAAGGGAAGUGAAGCCGCGAGGUGGAGCAAAUCCCUAAAAGCCAUCCCAGUUCGGAUUGCAGGCUGCAACCCGCCUGUAUGAAGUUGGAAUCGCUAGUAAUCGCGGAUCAGCAUGCCGCGGUGAAUACGUUCCCGGGCCUUGUACACACCGCCCGUCACACCAUGAGAGUCGGGAACACCCGAAGUCCGUAGUCUAACCGCAAGGGGGACGCGGCCGAAGGUGGGUUCGAUAAUUGGGGUGAAGUCGUAACAAGGUAGC
rnacentral:rRNA from 1 species